rnacentral:rRNA from 1 species
GAUGAACGCUGGCGGCGUGCCUAAUACAUGCAAGUCGAGCGAACGGACGAGAAGCUUGCUUCUCUGAUGUUAGCGGCGGACGGGUGAGUAACACGUGGAUAACCUACCUAUAAGACUGGGAUAACUUCGGGAAACCGGAGCUAAUACCGGAUAAUAUUUUGAACCGCAUGGUUCAAAAGUGAAAGACGGUCUUGCUGUCACUUAUAGAUGGAUCCGCGCUGCAUUAGCUAGUUGGUAGGGUAACGGCUUACCAAGGCAACGAUGCAUAGCCGACCUGAGAGGGUGAUCGGCCACACUGGAACUGAGACACGGUCCAGACUCCUACGGGAGGCAGCAGUAGGGAAUCUUCCGCAAUGGGCGAAAGCCUGACGGAGCAACGCCGCGUGAGUGAUGAAGGUCUUCGGAUCGUAAAACUCUGUUAUUAGGGAAGAACAUAUGUGUAAGUAACUGUGCACAUCUUGACGGUACCUAAUCAGAAAGCCACGGCUAACUACGUGCCAGCAGCCGCGGUAAUACGUAGGUGGCAAGCGUUAUCCGGAAUUAUUGGGCGUAAAGCGCGCGUAGGCGGUUUUUUAAGUCUGAUGUGAAAGCCCACGGCUCAACCGUGGAGGUCAUUGGAAACUGGAAAACUUGAGUGCAGAAGAGGAAAGUGGAAUUCCAUGUGUAGCGGUGAAAUGCGCAGAGAUAUGGAGGAACACCAGUGGCGAAGGCGACUUUCUGGUCUGUAACUGACGCUGAUGUGCGAAAGCGUGGGGAUCAAACAGGAUUAGAUACCCUGGUAGUCCACGCCGUAAACGAUGAGUGCUAAGUGUUAGGGGGUUUCCGCCCCUUAGUGCUGCAGCUAACGCAUUAAGCACUCCGCCUGGGGAGUACGACCGCAAGGUUGAAACUCAAAGGAAUUGACGGGGACCCGCACAAGCGGUGGAGCAUGUGGUUUAAUUCGAAGCAACGCGAAGAACCUUACCAAAUCUUGACAUCCUUUGACAACUCUAGAGAUAGAGCUUUCCCCUUCGGGGGACAAAGUGACAGGUGGUGCAUGGUUGUCGUCAGCUCGUGUCGUGAGAUGUUGGGUUAAGUCCCGCAACGAGCGCAACCCUUAAGCUUAGUUGCCAUCAUUAAGUUGGGCACUCUAAGUUGACUGCCGGUGACAAACCGGAGGAAGGUGGGGAUGACGUCAAAUCAUCAUGCCCCUUAUGAUUUGGGCUACACACGUGCUACAAUGGACAAUACAAAGGGCAGCGAAACCGCGAGGUCAAGCAAAUCCCAUAAAGUUGUUCUCAGUUCGGAUUGUAGUCUGCAACUCGACUACAUGAAGCUGGAAUCGCUAGUAAUCGUAGAUCAGCAUGCUACGGUGAAUACGUUCCCGGGUCU